rnacentral:rRNA from 1 species
GACGUAGGGCGCGAGCGUUGUCCGGAUUUAUUGGGCGUAAAGAGCUCGUAGGCGGCUUGUCGCGUCGACUGUGAAAACCCGCGGCUCAACUGCGGGCUUGCAGUCGAUACGGGCAGGCUAGAGUUCGGUAGGGGAGACUGGAAUUCCUGGUGUAGCGGUGAAAUGCGCAGAUAUCAGGAGGAACACCGGUGGCGAAGGCGGUUCUCUGGGCAUUACCUGACGCUGAGGAGCGAAAGCGUGGGGAGCAAACAGG